rnacentral:rRNA from 1 species
GUUGUGUUCGGCACGUGCUGUUAGGUUGCAUCCCUGCUCGAGCAGCGACGUCCUGACCCGCCGCCGUCUCAAUCGCGGGGCAAGCUCAAUAUAGGCUUGGUCCAAGUCGAUUUCCUGUGCUGCAUGCAUUAUCAAGUUUUAUCGAUCGCCUUUCGCCCCUCGUAUUUUGUGCGCGGGGCGAAUCGAAAGGCCGCCCUCGCGUCCCACUCCUCCCUCGCUUCGUCGUGCGGAUCAUGGUCCGCGAGUGGCGGCCCGGAUUCUCGAAUGUGGUAGACUCAGUGGGCAUGGGGCCUUCAUCGUCUCCUAUCUGCCCCGUACGAUGCUCCUUGUAAAUGACGGUCGCGCUCGCCUUGAAUCCAUCUGCGCCCUCGUGGGUAGGCCGGGCUCAUGCGACGCCGCGCGUGGAUGAGGAAUGCUACCUGGUUGAUCCUGCCAGUAGUCAUAUGCUUGUCUCAAAGAUUCAGCCAUGCAUGUGUAAGUAUGAACAAAUUCAGACUGUGAAACUGCGAAUGGCCUGCCAUGGUGGUGUCUUUGUCAAGAUGUUGCUUUUAGGACUCCGCCGGCACCUUAUGAGAAAUCAAAGUUUUUGGGUUCCGGGGGGAGUAUGGUCGCAAGGCUGAAACUUAAAGGAAUUGACGGAAGGGCACCACCAGGAGUGGAGCCUGCGGCUUAAUUUGACUCAACACGGGGAAACUUACCAGGUCCAGACAUAGUAAGGAUUGACAGACUGAGAGGUCUUUGUUGAUUCUAUAGGGCGGUGGUGCAUGGCCGUUCUUAGUUGGUGAAGCGAUUUGUCUGGUUAAUUCCGUUAACGAACGAGACCUCAGCCCGCUAACUAACUAUGCGGAGGUAUCCCUUCGCGGCCAGCUUCUUAGAGGGACUACGGCCUUUUAGGACGCGGAAGCUUAAGGCAAUAACAGUUCUGUGAUGCCCUUAGAUGUUCUAGGCCGCACGCGCGCUACACUGAUGUAUUCGACGAGUUUAUAGCCUUGGCCGACAGGCCAGGGUAAUCUUUGAAAUUUCAUUAUGAUGGGGAUAGAUCAUUGCAAUUGUUGGUCUUCAACGAGGAAUUCCUAGUAAGUGCGAGUCAUUAGCUCGCGUUUACUACGUCCCUGCCCUUUGUACAUACCGCCCGUCGCUCCUACCGAUUGAAUGAUCCGGUGAAAUGUUCGGAUCGCGGCAACGUGGGCGGUUCGCUACCCGCGACUUCGCGAGAAGUCCAUUGAACCUUAUCAUUUAGAGGAAGGACAAGUCGUAACAAGGUUUCCGUAGGUGAACCUGCGAAAGG